CAGACUUAGUCUUUGAAAGAGUCUCUUGGGCUGUUGCUGGAAAACGGACCACAGCAGAGCAGGAGGGGCCGCUGGCUCAGCUCAGAGCAGAGGCCUCUUUCUUUCAACCAAGGGCUUUCUCCGGUGCCAGGGGCUUACUUCAGAAAAACGGUGUCCGGCUUCUUGCGUCGAGUCUGACUUAGAAUGUUGCAACCGCCUGUGGAUCUCCUCUUUGAGAGUUAGAUCCCCGGGCCCCCAGAGACAAGUCGACAGAAUGAGAAACCGCCGUUUCCCAAAGACACGCAGCAGUGAAGAUUCUCGCUCAGAAGGCCCUGCAAAAUCAAACAGGAAAAAAAGAGACAUCACGCCCCUCCCCUCGCCACCCUGUCUGUCCCCCUGGUUCUGCCAGAACUCCACCGGCUUGCCAAGAGCCACCCAGGAACAGAUUUCCUGUCUCAUCUGCUGCAUCUGGUCGUCCACUCCUACUCCCUGUUCAUCCCCCCCCCCAAAGGCA